GUCCCCGGUCAUAGGCGGUAGGAAACGCCCGGUCUCAUCAGAACCCGGAAGCUAAGCUGCCGCCGCCGUCGGGAGUACUGAGGUCUGCGGCCUCGGGAAACCGCGGUGCUGGGGACG
rnacentral:rRNA from 1 species